rnacentral:rRNA from 1 species
CCUACGGGAGGCAGCAGUGGGGAAUAUUGCGCAAUGGGCGAAAGCCUGACGCAGCGACGCCGCGUGAGGGAUGAAGGUCUUCGGAUCGUAAACCUCUGUCAGCAGGGAAGAACGGUCACUGUGCUAAUCAGCAGUGAAUUGACGGUACCUGCAAAGGAAGCACCGGCUAACUCCGUGCCAGCAGCAGCGGUAAUACGGAGGGUGCGAGCGUUAAUCGGAAUUACUGGGCGUAAAGCGCUCGUAGGCGGUAUGUCAAGUCAAGGGGGAAAUCCCCGCGCUCAACGUGGGAACUGCCUUUGAAACGGGCAAACUGGAGUGUGUGAGAGGAUAGUGGAAUUCCAGGUGUAGGAGUGAAAUCCGUAGAUAUCUGGAGGAACAUCAGUGGCGAAGGCGACUAUCUGGCACAUAACUGACGCUGAGGAGCGAAAGCGUGGGUAGCAAACAGGAUUAGAUACCCUGGUAGUC